rnacentral:rRNA from 1 species
CACACCGCCCGUCAAACCACGAAAGUUGUAUUAGCCAGAAGCAAAUGAGCCAACCGCAAGGAAGCAGUUUGCCAAGGCUUGUGCGAUGAUUGGGGUU